CCUCGGCCUCCCAAAGUGCUGGGAUUACAGGCGUGAGCCACCAUGCCCUGCCUCCAUCUGUGUCUUUCACAGGCUUACUUAAGCCUGGACCUGAGCCCUCUUCUCUGCUCCUCUGCAUGGUCUCCCUGGAUCAGCUCCACACCCACAUGGUCUCAACAGUCAAGACCCCCAAUCCUCUCUCCUGAAGCCUCUCCUCUGUCCUCCAAGCAGUGUCAUCUCUGCCUCCAUGUGCACAUCUCAAACCCACAGGUCCCACAAUGAACCCCAUGAGUUGUCCCCCCACCCCCACCCCAUGCCCUCUCUUGAGGGAACGGCCCCACCUUGCAAGUCACCCUGGACACCGCCUUCUUUGUCGCCGCCCAUCCUGACGACGUUUCCUCCUUGACCGACUUCCAGCCCAUCCCUUUCUCUGCAUCUCUGCUCCCCCAUCUCCCCCUGGGUGCUGCUAUAGCCUCCUAUCUGCCCCUGCUUUCACUCUUGCCCCUUUCCAGUUCAUUCUCCACUGGGAAGCUGGUGGGAUCUUUCCAAAACGCAGAUCUAACUGGUAACCCUCCUGACUAAAGCCUUUCAAUAGCUUGCUUCUACUGUCAUCAAAAAUCCCCUUCUCUGGCCAGGCACGGUGGCUCACACCUGUAAUCCCAGCACUUCGGAGGCUGAGGCAGAUGGAUCGCUUGAGGUCAGGAGUUUGAGACCAGCCUAGGCAACAUGGCGAAACCCCGUCUCUACUAAAAAUACAAAAAUUAGCUGGGCAUGGUGGCGCGCUCCUGUAGUCCCAGCUACUUGGAAGGCUGAGGCACAAGAAUCGCUUAAACCUAGGAGGUGGAGGUUGCAGAGAGCCAAGAUCCACUGCACUCCAGCCUGGGCAACAGAGUGAGACUCUGGCUAAAAAAAAAUGGGGUCGG
rnacentral:lncRNA from 10 species